UGCAUCUGAGGCCAGUGAGGAUGAGAACCUCCGGGGGCAGGAGGUUCGACUCGAGCGAAGCGAGAGAACGUUGCGUCAGCAACGGCCCGCAGGGCGAGCCAC
rnacentral:sRNA from 1 species